rnacentral:rRNA from 1 species
GAUGAACGCUGGCGGCGUGCUUAACACAUGCAAGUCGAACGGAAAGGCCCAAGCUUGCUUGGGUACUCGAGUGGCGAACGGGUGAGUAACACGUGGGUGAUCUGCCCUGCACUUCGGGAUAAGCCUGGGAAACUGGGUCUAAUACCGGAUAGGACCACUUCUUGGAUGUUGUGGUGGAAAGUUUUUUCGGUGUGGGAUGAGCUCGCGGCCUAUCAGCUUGUUGGUGGGGUAAUGGCCUACCAAGGCGUCGGCGGGUAGCCGGCCUGAGAGGGUGUACGGCCACAUUGGGACUGAGGGAAGGCCCAGGCUCCGAAGGGAGGCAGAAGGGGGGAAGAUUGAACAAUGGGCGCAAGCCGGGUGCAGAGGCGCCGCGUGGGGGAUGACGGCCUUCGGGUUGAAAAAACCUUUCGCUAGGGACGAAGCGUUUUGUGACGGUACCUGGAGAAGAAGCACCGGCUAACUACGUG